rnacentral:rRNA from 1 species
AUUGAACGCUGGCGGCAUGCCUUACACAUGCAAGUCGAACGGCAGCACGGGAGCAAUCCUGGUGGCGAGUGGCGAACGGGUGAGUAAUAUAUCGGAACGUGCCCGGUCGUGGGGGAUAACGUAGCGAAAGCUACGCUAAUACCGCAUACGAUCUACGGAUGAAAGCGGGGGAUCGCAAGACCUCGCGCGAUUGGAGCGGCCGAUAUCAGAUUAGGUAGUUGGUGAGGUAAAGGCUCACCAAGCCGACGAUCUGUAGCUGGUCUGAGAGGACGACCAGCCACACUGGGACUGAGGACAACGGCCCAGACUCCUACGGGAGGCAGCAGUGGGGAA